rnacentral:rRNA from 1 species
CCUACGGGGGGCAGCAGUGGGGAAUAUUGGGCAAUGGGCGCAAGCCUGACCCAGCAACGCCGCGUGCAGGAAGAAGGCUUUCGGGUUGUAAACUUCUUUUCUCAGGGACGAAGCAAGUGACGGUACCUGAGGAAUAAGCCACGGCUAACUACGUGCCAGCAGCCGCGGUAAUACGUAGGUGGCAAGCGUUAUCCGGAUUUACUGGGUGUAAAGGGCGAGUAGGCGGGACUGUAAGGCAGAUGUGAAAACCAUGGGCUCAACCUAUGGACUGGAUUUGAAACUGUAGUUCUUGAGUACUGGGGAGGCAGACGGAAUUCCUGGUGUAGCGGUGAAAUGCGUAGAUAUUAGGAGGAACACCAGUUGCGAAGGCGGUCUGCUGGACAGCAACUGACGCUGAGGCGCGAAAGCGUGGGGAGCAAACAGGAUUAGAUACCCGAGUAGUC